UACGGAAGGGGCAAGCGUUGUUCGGAAUCAUUGGGCGUAAAGGGCGCGUAGGUGGUUUUGUGUGUCUACCGUGAAAGCGCGCGGCUUAACCGCGUUCCGUCGGUAGAAACUGCAGAACUUGAGACUGGGAGGGGCUGGUGGAAUUCCCUGUGUAGCGGUGAAAUGCGUAGAGAUGGGGGAGAACACUCGUGGCGAAGGCGGCCAGCUAGACCAGUUCUGACACUGAGGCGCGACAGCGUGGGGAGCAAACAGG
rnacentral:rRNA from 1 species